rnacentral:rRNA from 1 species
UAGGGAAUCUUCCGCAAUGGACGAAAGUUUGACGGAGCAACGCCGCGUGAGGGAAGAAGGAUUUCGGUUCGUAAAACUCUGUUGUUAGGGAAGAAAAAAUGUAUAGUAACUAUAUACAAAAGAGACGGUACCUAACCAGAAAGCCACUGCUAACUACGUGCCAGCAGCCGCGGUAAUACGUAGGUGGCAAGCGUUGUCCGGAAUUAUUGGGCGUAAAGCGCGCGCAGGUGGUUUAGAAAGUCUGAUGUGAAAGCCCACGGCUCAACCGUGGAGGGUCAUUGGAAACUAAUAAACUUGAGUGCAGGAGAGAAAAGUGGAAUUCCUAGUGUAGCGGUGAAAUGCGUAGAGAUUAGGAGGAACACCGGUGGCGAAAGCGGCUUUUUGGCCUGCAACUGACACUGAGGCGCGAAAGCGUGGGGAGCAAACAGG